rnacentral:lncRNA from 1 species
GAGGGAGCAGAACAACAGAAUCUUCAACACCAAGCGAUCUCCGGCUGCGGGGAUUCUAAUGGUGAUCAAGAAUAAGUCAGCCCUGUGACGCUUAAUCGAUAGCAAAGGCGAUGGGGCUUUGCUCUCCGGAUUAUAAGAUAUUCCCUGAGUAGUUACUAUUAGUUUUUGCGUUGUUUUUCCUUUUCUUCUAUCUUUUUCUUUCCUUGUAAUUGAACUUUGUUUUUUCUCCCGUGGUCGAUCUCGUGUCAGCCUCCUUCAAUAGAUCAAGAGCACACUGUGUCUCUUCUUUAAAAAAAGUGAAGAAAUUGCACAAGGACUACGGAGAUUUAAAGGUGCACAAAGAGAGCAUGCUCCCGGUGAAAUUUGCGAUGAAAAAAAAUAAUCAAAACAAUGAUGCAGAUACAAGAUC